GGCGCGGGCGGGUCCCUGUCAGGAUACGGUUGGACCCCUGCCAGGCCCUGAGGGGUCCCAGCAGGAUGAGGGGUGAGUCCCAGUAGGGCACAGUUGGGCCCCUGCCAGGAUGCGGGCGGAUCCCGGCCAGGCCCGCUCCCGAUUUCGGGAAUCCCCCAGGCUAAAGGGCGGGGCCUCAGGGGGAGCUCGGCGCGGGAAGGUGACGUCACCCGCGCCGCCAGAAGCCGGCGGAUCGCUCCGCAGCACACGUGUUCCCGAUGGGCACUUUAACUCCGAGCGGGGCUUCCUAUUGGCCAUCGCAGUGAUUGACAGACAGACAGCCAACCAGAUGCCGCCAUUCUUCCCGCAUAGCCAAUGAGCGGCAGGGGGCGGGCGGCGGCGCCAAGCGUGGGGCUCAGUUGAAUGUGCCGGGGCGGCGGCUGCGGGAGAACAGCAUUUUAGAAUGCCAAAAAUGGUUGUGGAAAAAAAAGAAAAGAAGGCAGAAAAAAGAAAAAAGCUGAAGGAAGACAUGGCCCAAAAGGAUGAGCUGGAAUUGGAAACCAAACCGAAGAAAAAGAAGAAGCAAAAGCUGCAGAGACUGGAUGUGGGUGAGAGGUGAACCAAGUGAGGAGCUGUCAUAUGGUAAUCCCGGUGCAGCUUCAGUCUUCAUGUGAUCCUGAGUGCCUGGGAAAACAUGAAAGAUGUUUUCUUGGAAGUUCUCCUCGUUUUUGGACAGAAUGUCAAGUGGCCAGAAGGUGUCAGCAGUCUCUUUGUAUUCCUGAACGUUUUAUGGAUUAUUUUAUGAGAAUAAAAUUAACAAUCUCCAUAUGUUACUUAAGUAGGAACUUGGAGCUGUAAGGUUUUUUUUGGUGGUGGAAAUGAUGCAUAAUUCAAGGACAAUUCAGUUCUGAUAGUGUUACUGUGGAAUGAGGAUCAAAGAACUGUAAAGCAAUUCAAGAAGUAGAGAGAGAAAGCAGGUUUUUUCCCUCAGGAAUUCUUGAAGAUCACCUCAAGAAGCCACUGUCUCAAUUCUCUUACGUUUCGUGGCCUAACAUAAAAUAUAUGUGAAAGCUGCUUGUUACUUCCUUUAUCAUGACAUGUGCAGUUCAAUGGAGCUCAUAUAACUAAAAAUUACUACUUAUUUUGUUACUAGAUUAUUAUUUUAUUUAAGCUCAUUGGCAAGAACAUAUUUGAAGAUCUCUUGCAUUCAUAAGUGUCUCUAAGUAUUGCAUUUAGAGCUUGGGAAGCUUAAUAUUAAAAAGCCAACCUAUUGGCAGAAGCUAUUCAGAGGACUGUGCAGUUUUGAGCUCAGCAGAAAUGUUCCUAAGUAAGAAAAGACUGCAUCUUUGUCAAAGCAAAAACAGGAAAUUUUGUCCUUCUAGCUUCAUAAGAGGGAAUGUUUCUUGUUUCCUUUCUGUUACAGACUGUGGAUUUGUCGUGCUAUAAUUGAGUGAAAAUAAUUUUCCAGGACGAAAUAGUGUGAAAUUGAAAUGUCAAAAUGAAAAUGUUAUUGCCUGUGACAAUCUAUAAUUUCACGUAAAACUGCCAAAUAGUCGGGGUGGGCUUCAAGCUCCUGGCUAGUGGGGCCUUUUUGGGCCAUCUGGUGUCCAGUGUUCAGUUCUUAGAACACCCAGAUGAGUUUUGAGGACUGUGCAGACUGUAGAACUGUGCAAGAAGGAGCAAAGAGUAAUGGAAAGAAGAAUCCUUAAUACUGUUAGGGAGCACCUCUAAGCACAACAGUUCUUGGAAUCAUAAAAGUUGAUGCCAGUGGGUGGCUUGAACAUGUAUAUAGUGAGUUUUAGGGAAUGCCAUAAAAGGUCUAUGACAAGCCACUUCUUGGCACCAGCUUUAUAAACUGUAACUGUUGAUAGAGGAAAGUCUAAGUUAAUAGACCGCUUCUUUUUAUUUUUAAUUUAUUUUUGAAAUAACUGUUGAGAAUGAAAAAUGUGAGGCAGAUUUUAAACAAUUUUACUUCAGAAGUGGCUAAAAAAGUUAAUUGCUUGGCAGUUUGGUUGUUGCUCAGAGUAAGUUCUCCCAGCUUUGUGUGAAGUGCUUGGUUAAGGCACACUGGCAUUUAUGCUCUAAAGUGCUUUUGGUCAUCAAACCUUGUCAGCAUGGAAGGUGUAACAGAGAACAAGGUAAAACAGCUCUGUGUGAACAGGAAGAUCAGAGGAGCUCUGGGGCUGUGCUCAAUCAGUGAAUGGUUCCAAGUAAGAAAUUUGGAACAAAUGUUAAGCAACUGCUGAGGUUUAUUCUGCAUCUUUACUUUCCUUAAAUUGAUUUCUGUUACUUUAAAAUGAGCUGAAAUUUUGCUAGAUCUACAGGAGUUCCUGACUCAUGGUGCCUGGAUUCUGAUGAGCUGUGAUUGGUUUUUAAUGCAGCAACUGAAUUAAAGGAAACUCUUCCUGAUAUUCUAAAGUAAGGAUGGGUAGGCUCCAGUUUUUCCUAAAGAGUCUCAUGUGUGGCAGAAAGAAGUCAGAGUUUUUGGUGGGACAGAGGUUUCACUGGUUCAUUAAGUCAUGUUUCUGUGAUUUACUUUUUUUUUUUUUUUUUUCAAUUCUAGUACAGCAAAUUUAAUCUCCAAAGUGGGAAAUACAAAUGUCUGAUUGA